ensembl:ncRNA lncRNA:CR44461 long non-coding RNA:CR44461
GUGGCCAGGUAAAUCAGGUAAGCCGGUGGCGGACUGGAAACGGGAAGCUGGACGACUGGCCGGGAAAGGUGCAGCAUGAGGCACUCAAGCGACGGACAGCGGUAGCCGUUUCGGCUGCGAUAAGCUGUCCAAAUGGAGGGACAUCCUGCUCAUUCCAUAUGCAUAAUGCAUUCAUUUGACAGCUCCGAAUGCGAGGACCACCGAUCGCCGGAUCAGCAUCUGGUGAUUCUAGACCGCUUCUAAUGCCUUUUGAGUGUGCCGCACACAUCCUUUUUACCCCUCGCCUAAGCAUUCUGCUCCCGCAGCUAUUAAUUAGAAUGUAUAUAUGGGCUCGAGUUCCCCAUUUCAUUCCGUUAAUUUUUGGCAUUUCAAAAGUUAACAGCACGCGACAUUUUAAAUAUGUAUGAUGCCCGAUGCCCGAUGCCCGAUGUCCUCGUCCUGUUUCUUCCCCCUCGAGCUGCCACUCGCCUCGUUUGUCGAAGUGGCGAACUGCCGAAGCGGAGGAGAUGAUGUGAACGGGCAAGGGAACGGGAAUGGAAGCGGGCUUGGGAAUGGGAAUGGGAAUGGGAAUGGGAUUCCCCGGAGCAGCUGUUGAAAUUGAUGCCUGGUCGCGUUUGGCAUUUGCCGUCGAAUAUGCAAGUAGUCCUUUCGGGGCAUGUUAAGAUAAUGAACACGAUAGCUGGCCAGCACGUACGGGGGAUAUACUCUUAUCCCGCAAUUUAGUUGUGCACUUCAGUGGGUUUCACUUAGCGAGUAACCCCUGUAACGGCUCCUUUGGUAAAAGGAGUCUUAUUAAUAGUAGUUAUUUGAAAACAUGCCUUUAUUAUCGAG